GAUUCCUGAACCCAGACUUUUAAAGAGUCCCUGGUUUGUUACCCUGGCGGCAUGACCAGCCUGAGCUGGCUUCCUGGGGUUUUGCACUUCGCGGUUAUGAUGUAGGAACAGGAUAAGUUAUGACUGACCCUUCUGCACUUCGCUGUUAUGAUUUAGGAAUAGGAUAACUUAUGACUGACCCUUCUUCUUCUCCUUCACUCCUGCCACUUGUUUCUCAAUUAUCUUUUAAAGUACAGUUAGGGUCUCAGAUUUCCAGAACUGGGGCUGCGACGUCCUUUGAGUGUCAUGUGAGGCAUUCCUGCUCUUGGUGGAGGUGGACUGCUCAGCCUCAAGUCCCAGUGCCGGGCCCGAGGAGGGACAGCGCGAGGUGUGCUGGCACCUGCAGUCUUCUUUCUUGUCACCACAUAAGACAUCACUAGACAAAAGACAUCAAAAUCAGAUGCUGUUGUGCCGCGUUGCCAUCUCUCUUCUCAAAUCAGUGUCCCAGUAGCCAGGCAGACUUCGGUUCAUCCUGUUUUAGCCGCCCGCUAGAAUUUAAAACGUGGCCGUGCAGCUCCUGACCCCGUUGAGAGUGCCUCGCAACCAGAAGACUGUAGCUCUUCUUUUCUCCCAAGGGAGAAACUAAUGAUUUGCAGAAGCUAGUAAUUUCGUCUAUGAAACUUGCCCCAGGCUCUCCCUUCCCUCCUGCUUUCAGUGGUACUGAGGAGCUCUAUUUAAUCUGAACAGAAAAUUCCAUUUUCUUCUGAUGAUUUUGUGACUAUACGAAAAUGGAAUUAAGGGAUUGUAGAUUUCUUCCCCACAAGCAUAUUUUAAAAUCCAGAGUAAAAAUGAAAACUUUCACAGUGUAGUUGAGAAUAAAGGUGAGAGGUUUUCUAAUAAUACUUUAAAAAAUUCUCAUACACAGAUAAAUUAGAAGAAGCAUGAAGACUUUUCCUUAAAGAAAUGUCCCUUUCCCUGCACUUUGAAUAGAUGAACAAAAUGAGUAAGCAGGGACAGAUUCAACUUUUGUGGGAGCUCAUAUACCUCGGUGUUGGGGGGAGGCUCUUUUAUAGAAAAAGAAUGCAAAGAUCUCUCACUUUUGCGGAAUGUCCACAUUCAGCACAUGUGAGCUGCUGCUCUCCUCACCUGGGCCUGGAGCGCAUGGGUGAGAGGCUGAGCCUCAGGGCUUAGGCCAGCUGCCUCUGCACAGGGGGGCUGUGUGUUGCCCUUAGCUGUGCCAGGGAGGAGUCACAGCAGAUGGCGUGCUGCCGUCCUAAUCUCUGUGGCACACAGGAGAAUGUCCUCACCCCCAAGGAUGUCCCCAUGCUAAUUCUAGAACAUGUGGCUUUGUCAUCUUAUAUGAUAAUCCAGAGACUUUGCAAAUGGGAUUGAGUGAAGGGUCUGGAGACGGUCCUGGAUUUUCCAGGGUGCUCUAAUGGUAACCACAAAGUCCAUAUAGGAGAAAGGCAGGAGGGUCAGAGUCAGAAAAGGAGCAGUGAAGACGAAGCGGGGUCAGGGUGAUUCGAGAAAGGGGCUGUGAGCCAAGGGGUGCGGGCGCCUCUAGAAGCUGGACAAGGCAAGGGAACAGGUUCUUUCUGGAAGCCUCUAGAGGGAGCAGCCCUGCCCACACCCAGAGCUGUAAGAGGAUCAACAUGUAUUGUUUUAAACCCCCACACCUGUGGGAAUUUGUUAGGCUGGGCUGGCUCCAGCCUCUCCCCUCCAGCCACUCAGCAACCUCCACAGUUAGGCCCCUCCUGGAGACCUCUCCUGGCUGCCCCAGGCCCUGUCUCCUGUACGUCCCUCCUCCGCCCCUCAUCCAGCUUGUUGUUUCUCCCUACCCCCAUCUUCCUUAUUUUUCUUCUUUUCUUUGCAUCCUCAAAACAUAAACCCUCAGGCUCAUCUCCCCAGCCUGAUGUGCAGUCUUCCUCUCUGCCUUGUGUCUCUCCUCUGACCAGUGCCUCCAUGGGGGACAGAAGGCUACACCGUGUGGCUGUGGCAGCCCCUCACUCCACAGUGUGGGCAUGUGCUGUUCAAUCACACAUGGACACUCAGAGCUCUUGCCAAGUAGACACAGACUAAGAGGGCCUAUAUGUUCAUGACAUUUUUUAGAGGUCUGAGCUGCCCAUUCAGCUUUGCAUGAAAAUGGAGAUUGCGAGUUUUGACCACUCCAUGACUGUGGCUUGUUGUGAAUGUCUGUGGUGAAGUGGCACUGCCUGUUCAGAGUAUUGUUGGAAUUUCAUUUGACCAGGUGACAAGAAAGUGUUCACAAGCCUAAGGAGGAACUUACCUGCUCCUUCCUGAGGAAAUAUGUGCCCCCACAAAAAAAAAAAAAAAAAGGGAAACCAGGCCCCAGUGUGCCACCGAGCAGCACCACCGCUGGAGGCCGCCCUCUGUCCAGGGUCGUGCACACGUGGGAGCUGGGGCCGGAAGCCCCCAUGCCUGCCCUUCUCAGAGUGGGCUGUGCUGGGCUGAUUGCUUUUCCACCUCAAUACCGACGUUGUAGACUUGACUUCCAGCGGCAGUCCUGACUCAGCUCAUCUCCCGGCCAUCUCAUUUCCUUACUCGGGAGAUCGGCGAUUCUGUGUAUUUUUCUAAUAAGCAAAAUCCCCAGAGAUGAAAGAAGCCACCACAGAAUACUCAGCUCUUUCUGGAAACAGAAGAAAGACUGCUGACCCUAUUUGCAGGGAGGGAGGGUGUUCUUCCUGAAACACCUGAGUGUGUGUUUGGACCACAUGGGUGGAGGACAGUUCAGGGAAACCAAGUUUGCAUUUAAAAGAUCUUGGUUCCAACGUCAUAGGUGUUGUGCACCCUUUCCAGGCCUUGUCUCCAGCGCCACCUCACAUGUAUACCAGCUAUAAAUACUACAGUGUAUGUAUAUGUACAGAUACACACAAAGCUAAAGUAUACAUUCACCAAGAUAAACUGUGCUUGCCAGGGCUUUAAUCUCCCCAGGAGGCUGUUAUUACUGGAGUCCGGCCCCAGCGCGCCAGCUGGGGAGAGGAAGUGAGACUCUGGUGUCGGGAGGCUGGGCGGCGUUCCUCUUUGUCUACUCUUUGCUUUUUAGAACACAUGCAUAGCUAGCAUUCACAUGUGGCCACAGAUGAAAUGAUAUGCUUGACUCGCCCCUAAAGAUGCCUUUCUUGUCAGUAUGUUGCUUUACGGAGAUACUUUACCCUCGAUCAUCGGCAGCCAUACCGGAUUCCGAUGGAACAAGAGAGCAGGAAGUGCUUUCAUCAUAUUUUCCCUGUUCAGUUUGAGCAAUCCGAAAUGGAGGUGAUCAUGACAAAGGAAGAAAGUUUCCUCUUGUGAGCUUGCAUUGUUUUAAUUCUCCUUGGCAUCUAGUCUGACUUCUACUUGUGGUCUGGACCAGUGGUUCUCAGAGGUGCACAAGCAUCAGAAACACCCAGAAGGCUUGUUCAAACCCAGAUUCCUAGGCCUCAUUCCCACAGUUUCUGGCUUAUGAGGUGUGCAUGAUGCCCAAAAUUUGUUUUUCUAGCAAGCUCUCAUGGGACAUGGAUGCUGCUGGCCUGGUUUGGGGACCGUACUUUGAGAACCACUGGUUCAGAACAUGAGGCUGCAGCACUCCCAAGGUUUUGGCAUUGUUUUGUAUUAAGGAAUAGCUUAUGAGAAAUAGGUUUCUAGCUUUUUAAUUUUGUUACCAGUCUAGACUCUAUGAUUGAGAGGGUGACCAGCUGUCCCAGUUUGCCCUGGGGCACAGGACUAUUCAUGCUGAAACUGAGAGAGUCCUGGGCAAACUGGGAUGAAUUGGCCACCUUCACUAUUGAUCCAACUUCCCAAAUGCUUUGUCUACAUUGCUGGUACCUGGCUCGGAGGAGGCCCUAUUGGGAAGGCUGUAAGUGUGUUGCCGCAGGGUUCCACAGGACACUUAGAGUUUGAGGAACAUCUGCCAUCAAAGCACUGCAACAAUAUUUAGGGAUGUUAAUUGUUCCUCAGGAGGCAUACGUAGGAAUCACAUCCACCUUAAACAUGCGCACUUGUGGCAUUUGGGCUCACACAGCCAAACAGCUGCCACCGUCUGAAGUAACACGUGGGCUGUGGGGUUCCUGCAGUGUGACAGACACACUUCUCUGCAUCAUCCAUGUACCAGCCUGUUUUCUUCUCACUAUAGCCCAAUCAGCUAAUUAUCAUCAUUUCCAUCUUUCACAAACAAGUACGUAAAGAUGUCAUUGUUUACCCCAGGGUCACAGAUGGCAAAAGCGGCAGAACCACAGGCCAAACACUUGUUGUUUUACCGUGUGACUCCGAAGAGCAUUAAACCGGAGGCUCUAUCCAUGAGUUUUUCCAGCCACUCACGUCUCUGCCUCUAUUGGAGAUGAAGCCUCUCAGAGUGGAAGGCAGUGGACCUAGCUUGGAUCGGGACGCCUGGACUUUCCUCCUGCUUCUUCCAGAUCCUGGCUCUAUGACUUGUAUCAGGUCACCUUUUAACCCCUCUGAGCCUCACUUUCCCCAUAUGUGACAUGGACAUAAUGCCUGCCUUACCUUCUGCCUUAGCUUAUCUUGAGGAGAAAUAGAAAUGGUGUUUAUGAAGCUGUCAGUAACCUGCGAAAGCACGCACUUGUCCCUAUGAGCAUACAUGUGUUAAACCUUCUGUUAUUCCAAAAGAAAGGUUUGGCACAUCAACUUCAGGAAUAUUUACUUAAGUGGAGGAGAAACAAAGCAACUAAAGUAGCCAAAAUUAGCAGUGAACAGAAGAAAAUUCUCAGGAGGAAAAUGGUUCUUCAUCUGGUUUUACAAGGAUUAGCAACACGUGUGUCCUGUUCCAGGGCAGCAAAUCACGGCGCAGGCCCUAGCCAUUUUGCUCAGGGAGGACUGCGCUCUUUGGGAAACGUUCUGUUGCAAGUCACAGAUUAUAGGUGUGUGGUAGAAGGCCAGGCCUGAGCUGUCACUUCCUCAGUGUCAGAGGGUCUCAUUACAUUUCAUUACAGUGAUUUUCUUUUUGCUGAAACAUUAGGAACCCUGGAGCACUCAGCCAAGAUCAUGGAACAGAAUCACCCUCUCCUGCAUGUUUUUGUUUCUGCCUCCUGCUUUUCUGUUCUUUUUCCAUUUUCUCUGUGUGUGUGUUGACUUGGCUGCCUAUAGCUUCAUCGUCAAAGCUGGUCCAUGUGGGUUCAACCUCGUGCUCUCACUCCCCUCCACCAUCGUUUUUGUCAUCAAAGCUAAAA